AGAGUUUGAUCCUGGCUCAGGAUGAACGCUAGCUACAGGCUUAACACAUGCAAGUCGAGGGGCAGCAUGGUCUUAGCUUGCUAAGACCGAUGGCGACCGGCGCACGGGUGAGUAACGCGUAUCCAACCUUCCCUAUAGUAGGGGAUAGCCCGGCGAAAGUCGGAUUAAUACGCUAUGUGGUGCAGUAUUGCCAUCAUGGCCGCACGAAAGAUUUAUCGCUGUGGGAUGGGGAUGCGUCUGAUUAGCUUGUCGGCGGGGUAACGGCCCACCGAGGCGACGAUCAGUAGGGGUUCUGAGAGGAAGGUCCCCCACAUUGGUACUGAGACACGGACCAAACUCCUACGGGAGGCAGCAGUGAGGAAUAUUGGUCAAUGGCCGGAAGGCUGAACCAGCCAAGUAGCGUGCAGGACGACGGCCCUACGGGUUGUAAACUGCUUUUAUAGGGGAAUAAAGUGUGGUACGUGUACCGUUUUGUAUGUACCCUAUGAAUAAGGACCGGCUAAUUCCGUGCCAGCAGCCGCGGUAAUACGGAAGGUCCGGGCGUUAUCCGGAUUUAUUGGGUUUAAAGGGAGCGCAGGCGGGACCUUAAGCGUGUUGUGAAAUGUACCGGCUCAACCGGUGAUGUGCAGCGCGAACUGGGGUUCUUGAGUGGGUACGACGUCGGCGGAAUUCGUGGUGUAGCGGUGAAAUGCUUAGAUAUCACGAGGAACCCCGAUUGCGAAGGCAGUCCGCGAGUCCUUUACUGACGCUAAAGCUCGAAGGUGCGGGUAUCGAACAGGAUUAGAUACCCUGGUAGUCCGCACGGUAAACGAUGGAUGCCCGCUGUAUGCGAUAGACAGUAUGCGGCCAAGCGAAAGCGUUAAGCAUCCCACCUGGGGAGUACGCCGGCAACGGUGAAACUCAAAGGAAUUGACGGGGGCCCGCACAAGCGGAGGAACAUGUGGUUUAAUUCGAUGAUACGCGAGGAACCUUACCCGGGCUUGAACUGCAGCUGAACGAUUCAGAGAUGAUGAGGCCCUUCGGGGCAGCUGUGGAGGUGCUGCAUGGUUGUCGUCAGCUCGUGCCGUGAGGUGUCGGCUUAAGUGCCAUAACGAGCGCAACCCCUGUCUUCAGUUGCCAUCAGGUGAAGCUGGGCACUCUGUAGAGACUGCCACCGUAAGGUGUGAGGAAGGCGGGGAUGACGUCAAAUCAGCACGGCCCUUACGUCCGGGGCUACACACGUGUUACAAUGGCCGGUACAGAGGGCAGCCACCUGGUGACAGGGAGCGAAUCUCGAAAGCCGGUCUCAGUUCGGAUCGGAGUCUGCAACUCGACUCCGUGAAGUUGGAUUCGCUAGUAAUCGCGCAUCAGCCAUGGCGCGGUGAAUACGUUCCCGGGCCGUGCACACACAGCCCGUCA
rnacentral:rRNA from 1 species